GGUAAGUUGGUCUAAUGGUCUAAAAUGACAGUUUAAGGCUCUCAACCAGGAAGGCAUGGGUUCAAAUUCCAUAAUUGUUAAAAACCA